rnacentral:rRNA from 1 species
UACAGAGGUCUCAAGCGUUGUUCGGAUUCAUUGGCGUAAAGGGCGCGUAGGCGGUGGGUAAGUCUGGUGUGAAAUCUCGGAGCUCAACUUCGAAAUUGCACUGGAUACUGCUCUGCUAGAGGGCUGGAGAGGAGAUCGGAAUUCACGGUGUAGCAGUGAAUGCGUAGAUAUCGUGAGGAAGACCAGUGGCGAAGGCGGAUCUCGGACAGCUCCUGACGCUGAGGCGCGAAGGCUAGGGGAGCAAACAGGG